UGGGGAAUAUUGGACAAUGGGCGCAAGCCUGAUCCAGCCAUGCCGCGUGAGUGAAGAAGGCCUUCGGGUUGUAAAGCUCUUUCAGCGGGGACGAUGAUGACGGUACCCGCAGAAGAAGCCCCGGCUAACUUCGUGCCAGCAGCCGCGGUAAUACGAAGGGGGCUAGCGUUGUUCGGAAUUACUGGGCGUAAAGAGCACGUAGGCGGCGCGUUUAGUCAGAGGUGAAAUCCCGGGGCUCAACCCUGGAAUUGCCUUUGAUACUGGCGCGCUGGAGUCCGAGAGAGGGUGGCGGAAUUCCCAGUGUAGAGGUGAAAUUCGUAGAUAUUGGGAAGAACACCGGUGGCGUAGGCGGCCACCUGGCUCGGCACUGACGCUGAGGUGCGAAAGCGUGGGGAGCAAACAGG
rnacentral:rRNA from 1 species